UACGUAGGGGGCGAGCGUUGUCCGGAAUUACUGGGCGUAAAGGGCGCGCAGGCGGCCGUGUAAGUCCGCUGUGAAAGACCGGGGCUCAACCCCGGUGUGUCAGCGGGGACUGCACGGCUGGAGUCCCGGAGAGGGAGGCGGAAUACCUGGUGUAGCGGUGGAAUGCGUAGAGAUCAGGUGGAACACCGAUGGCGAAGGCAGCCUCCUGGACGGGUACUGACGCUGAGGCGCGAAAGCGUGGGGAGCGAACGGG
rnacentral:rRNA from 1 species